rnacentral:rRNA from 1 species
GACGAACGCUGGCGGCGUGCCUAAUACAUGCAAGUCGAACGCAGUGGGGACGGGUGAGUAACCCGUGGGUAACCUCCCAUCAGAGGGGAUAACACUUGGAAACGGUAGCUAAACCGAUACUGCUGGAUGGACCCGCGGUGCAUUAGCUAGUUGGUGAGGUAACGGGUCACCAAGGCCACGAGGCAUAGGCGACCUGAGGGGGGGAGCGGCCACACGGGGACUGGGACACGGGCCAGGCUCCGACGGGAGGCAGGAGGAGGGAAUCGUCGGCAAUGGACGAGAGUCUGACCGAGGAACGCCGCGGGAGUGAAGAAGGUUUUCGGAGCGGAAGACUCUGUUGUUAGAGAAGCGGUAUCUAACCAGAAAGCCACGGCUAACUACGUGCCAGCCGCCGGGGUAAUAC